rnacentral:lncRNA from 1 species
AAACAUUCACAUGUAAUAGGAGCAAGACAUCAUCGAUGGAUACCAAGACAAUAGUACAACACAUCUCCAUAGCGGCCAGAACGAUAGUAAACACAAUUAAAGGAUGGAAAUGUUCAUACAUGGUAAAUUGAAGGAUGCAAUGUCCAUCCAUGCAAUGUUCGUACAAGGAUGGAUAGACGCGCCGUCGUGUUCACAAAAGAAGAGGGAGAUCACACGGUUGUUUACAUGGUACAUCACAAGAGCUGGUGGCUUCAUAUAUCACCGGGUACUUGCCAGAGUUAGAAUAGGUGCAAAGCCAUGGCCGUGGUGUGAAGAAAGCAAUUGGUGCAAACACCUCAUGCUCUUGUGCCUGAGACGCCAAACAAUUAGAUAGGUAUAAUAUAUUUGAAAACAGAAUGUGCCAGGCAUGCAAGCUCAAAAAUAAGAAUCCAGCCACCCACACCCAACACAAACUCGCAUGUCCUCUUCGUAGCCGUUGCACUGUGUCAUGUGAGGCACGACGAGUUUUCAAUUACUAUAAAAGUGUAGUUCAGUCCUAAAUACUCCCAAAGAAUCCCGAGCGAUUAAACCAAAUGGAACAAAACUGCUAAACCGAGUAAACUACUUUGUUGAGUAAAUUAGUCAACACUCGGCAACCAUAUAACCGAGACAAUUAGUUCAUACAAUAUGCCAUUUGCUCUUUCUACAAUAAUGUACCAGGCAGUUUUAGCAUCAAAAUUUUUGUGCGAAGAACAAUGAAUGUAUAUGUGCUGAUAAUUGACCUGUAAAAUCAUAGUUAGUGUUGCUGCAUAAAUUCAUAUAAGAACAUCCACACAAACAUCUUAUGCAGACUAUACUGACACAAGCAAAAUACACCGACAAUGAGAAGCUAAGCCAACAGCAGAAUGUAGUCGCCAAAUUCAACAAUAAGAUUUUGAGUUCUGAAUGUAAGAUAACACAGAUACAUCUUGGGUUGAGGGUAUUUGAACAGAACAACCGAAGACAAAUCAUUAUUCAUAAAAUACAAUAGACAGAGUCUGAAUUGCAUUAUGAACUGUACGAGUACAAAUUAAUUUACCCCUGAAUAUAAUCAAAAGUGGCAGAAGCUAUCUAGUUGGCCAUUUUUCAAAACAGACCAACACAGAUUUACAACCCGUGAGAGUGAUUUAACUACUUGCCACAAAAAUCUCAUAUCAGAACAUCCAUCCAAAUAUAUUAUGUAGAGUAUACCGACAGAAGGAAAAUGCACUAACCAUCAGGGUGGCAUUGACCAAAAUGUAUAUGAUUGUUGAAAAUCUCACAUAAGCUUGUGAUUUCAGAAUGUAAGAUUUACAUAGGCACGUCCUGGGCUCAGGGUAUUUGACAAAUAACCUUAUAGAUAUCAUCGCCGAUAUAAUCCAAUUAACGCAUUCUGAAUUGCAAGAUGAAAUUCACAACUACAGAUUUAAUAUACCCAUGAAUUGAACCAAAAGUUGCAAAAACCAUCCAGUUGGUCAUUUUUCAAACCAUGUCAAACCAGAUGUACACUCGCAUCCAUCCAAACAUAUUAUGCGGAGUAUAUUGACAGAAGCAAAAUAUACUGACAAUCAGAGGCAUGGCCAUCAAAAGUAUACUGACAGAAGCAAAAAAUAUGCCAAGGGUUAUCUUUGUCAUGCAAGGCUUCUAAGAUUGUGAUGUCUAACUUAAAAGGAAACAUCAGGGCACAAAGAGAAAAAUCAGCAUGGUUCACCACUAACAAUACAAGAUUGCGCCUGCAGUUCGUAGAAAUAGAGAAUUCGCACCUCAGAAGAUCUUCACAUAAAUCUGGGUGAUCCUUCAGCUCGACAACUGGAACAGAAGCAUACUUCGCACCCAGCUUGUUGCAAACAGAGUCUAGCUAUAUAUCUAUAAGAAUAGUCGAAUACAACAUCAUUAGCUUGAACAAAUAUCCUUUAAGCAGUGCCUCAGUAUGUUAUCAGUCCAUAAACACACAGGAAAAUUUAGUCUACUCACAUAAUCCAAAGGCGCAAAGAUUCAGAAUUUCAACUCUCAUUAUCUGCAUGCUUUUGUAACCCAUCCGAAAAACUGAAAGAAAACCAAAGCCUACCAAAAAAAGGAAAUAGAAAAAGGCAUCAGUGUAGGGAUGCACUAUUCUGUCCUCGCUUAAACCAUGUAUUAUAAAUGUCUGGGAUCCCAUGCCAUAACCACACAAUGAUUAGACCAAACAUCGGUCAUCGUGUAAUAAAAGAAAUGAAAUGCUAAAUCAGAUUUAGACUAUCGCCACAUUUAUCAAUCUGACAUCUUGACCUACACACGAAUUAGGAUUUUCUCUGUAAAAUAUAGUGUAAUUUUUUAAACAGGUACAACACAACCACCAGCUAAAUCUACAUGAGUUGGUUGAUUAAUACAUUAAAUCAGUACUGCCCAGUAGAUUUAUGUGCAAUUGGGCAAGCUUCAUGGAAAUAUUCACUUAAUACAUCCUCUAAACUUUUUUGUACUUCUCCUCGACAUCAUCAAACAUCUUAGCAUUUCCUCUUGUCCAUCUAACAAAUUACCAGACACCCAUGACUGGUACAUCACUACCAUAUGUCUGAAGACAUCAAAGACGGCUAAAAUUUCACACCAAAUGAGCACAGAUCAAUGAAUGAAUGAAUUGCACAGAAAAAAUCAUAGUAGAUGGCAGUGGAGACGGGAUGGCUCACCAGGGAACUAACAGGUCCAAGCACCACGAAGAAGCCUCAAUAGCCCAUGCCUGAACCAGCAACAACGAGCAGAGGAAGGGCACAUCCUUCUUGAAGGGGAGAGGGGUGAAGCAAGGCCUCACUUGCCUCGGAUCUGGACAGAUUAAUUAGUCGUCCCUUCCGUUGGGGUCGAAGAGAGGCGAUGGCGUGCCUGGGUGGUCGUCGAAGAAGCGCCGACAAGCAUUGGGGUGCUGAAACAGAGCCCAGCCGGUCGUCGCGCACGACGCAGUGGACGGGGCAUGGCUUCUCCUUCCUCUCGUCUCCUUCACAUCAUCCCUCUCUCUAUCUGGUCUCCUUCACAUCAUCCCUCUCUCUAUCUGCUGCGGGUACAGGAAGAU